ensembl:ncRNA lncRNA:CR45176 long non-coding RNA:CR45176
CACCUUGAAAUGGAUCCUUAGAAAGUCUGUAUAAUUAUCAUUGGUUUAUCCGCUUUUGUUAGACAGUAUUUGUUAUAAAUCCUGUUUGAGAACUCUUUAAAGUCCAUUUAAUUCGCACUAAAGGGCUGUUACAUAACCACAUAGCCACCACAUGUCCCAUCGUCUCAUUUACCAUUAUCACUCAGACUCAAUUUAUGCAAAUCCUCUCCUCGCACGCGAUAUAGAUUUCUUCGUUCCGUCGAUCUUACACGAUCUUCAAAUUGAUUAUGGCCUGAGCUCAGCCAGUCGGAGGCUUUUUAUAGGGCGCUCAGGUAGGUGGAUC